UGAAGGAAUGCAACAAUUGCGGGCCUGGAAAUAUGUAAUUGGAUUUAGAUCCAGGAGGGAAUCUUUACUACCUACUCAAAAAUUUUAGGAGGUUUCCAGCUGGAGACAUUUGACAAGUCUGUGACAUGAGCAACUGGGGGCCAAAGGAAAGCUGGAUGAACACUUAACAGAAAAGAUAGACAUGUGCAAAGAACAGAGUGGUAUGGGCUUAAUGUCACCAAGAGAAAAGAGCAGAUGAUGCGGCCAUGUGCCCAGGGAGAACCGCAGAGACUGGUUGUGGUCAACUCAGAGAGAGGAGAAAGGAGGGAGAAAGAAUGAAAGGGAAACAUCAAUGGGAGAGAAGAACAUCUAUCACUUGCCUUUCAUACAUACCCAACCUGGGAUCGAACCUUCAACCUAAGCACGUGCCCUGACCAGAAAUCAAACCAGUGAUGUUUCUCUUUGCAGGACAACUCCAACCAGCUGAGCCAUAUGAGUCAUGGUGGGUGGGUUCACUUAU